CAGCAGGAACACAUUUGCCCCUUAGUCCUGAUGAGCAUGCAGACCAUUAUUAGCAAGGAAGCUAGCUUGUUUUUUGCACCAAAGUUACCAGGUGAUGCUGAUGCUCCUGCUGACACUCCUCACCCAGGGAUCACACUUUGAGAACUGCUGCUCUGGAUAACAGCAACAUCUCCACCAGCAUUUCUGAAAAUUUAAUGUGCGUGCAACUCUCCCGGUUACCCUAUUAAAUUGCGUGCAAAGCAUGUGGGGAACUUAGGAAAAUGCAGAUUCUUACUUGGAAAGCUAAGGGAACCUCCUAAAAUGCCAUCUAUGGGUAGAGAAAGGAUCAUGGUUGAUAACAACAAACAAAAAGGU